GGCCUGGUUGGUCGGUCUCCCUCACCGGAUGUACUGGUCCGACCGGGCCUUUCCCUCUGUGGAUCCUCAUGCCCUUCACUGGGUGUGCUGGGGAAGCAGGACUUUUACUUUGAAAAAAUUAGAGUGCUCCAAGCAGGCCUAUGCUCGAAUACUUCAGCAUGGAAUAAUGGAAUAGGACGCGUGGUUCUAUUUCGUUGGUUUCUAGGACCGCCGUA
rnacentral:rRNA from 1 species